rnacentral:rRNA from 1 species
GACGAACGCUGGCGGCGUGCUUAACACAUGCAAGUCGAACGGUGAACCUCUUCGGAGGGGAUCAGUGGCGAACGGGUGAGUAACACGUGGGCAACCUGCCCCCGGCUCUGGGAUAACUCCAAGAAAUUGGGGCUAAUACCGUAUGUUCACCGCUUCCCGCAUGGGUGGUGGUGGAAAGGGUUUCCGGCUGGGGAUGGGCCCGCGGCCUAUCAGCUUGUUGGUGGGGUAGUGGCCUACCAAGGCGACGACGGGUAGCCGGCCUGAGAGGGUGACCGGCCACACUGGGACUGAGACACGGCCCAGACUCCUACGGGAGGCAGCAGUGGGGAAUAUUGCGCAAUGGGCGGAAGCCUGACGCAGCGACGCCGCGUGGGGGAUGACGGCCUUCGGGUUGUAAACCUCUUUCAGCAGGGACGAAGCGCAAGUGACGGUACCUGCAGAAGAAGCACCAGCCAACUACGUG